UCACUGUCAUUAUUAUGUCACAUAAGAUUAUGACUUCUAUCUUGCUAGUAAACCGUCUCCAUUAACUCUCUCUCUUUCUGAUUGAGUGUAAGCUGCUAUAUGAAGGGAUCCACAAGAGGAAUAAUUAAGGGGGACCUCUGAUCAACAGCCAGCCAGGAACUGAAUCCCUCAGACCUACAACUCACAAGAAACUGAAGCUGAAGCAGAUUCUUCCUCAGUCAAGCUUCAGGACCUGCUUUGCAGAAAGGAUCUCAUUGAGAAUAGCAAAAGGAAGUUGAGAAUCAUUACGGUGCCCAGCUGGAUUGGUAGAGGACAACAACCGCACCCUCUGCGGCACAGCACCUGGAGAGGAACUGCUGCCAUGACCAUAGAGGACACCCUCUGGAUACAAUGCCAGACUUGAUGCGGGACUGACCAACCUAUGGACCCCAGGCGCCACCACCCAGACCUGCUCAGCACCUGAAACAUUCUCAGCCGUGGAGGGAACUGUUCACUGCUACCAUCCAUACUUCUGGGCCCCUUCAGCAGCACAGUGACAAGGAAGAGGGAAAUCAACUUGGAAAAGAGAGACAGGCUCUCACUAUGUUGCCCAGAUUGGUCUCAAACUCCUGGCCUCCAGUGAUCCUCCCACCUUGGCCGUCCAAAGUGCUGUAAUUACAGAGCCUUGGACAAAGGACAAUGCCUGGAGGAUUGAAUCCCUCCCAGUGUGGCUAAAAGGCACAGAUGGGCUAGGAAGGAGAAGUUCCUGCAUCCCUGGGCCUCAUCAUGUCCUAAAGUUCCUGUGGUGAUGACAGCCAACAGUUCAUGAGCUGAAUGUAACUGUUUGACAAGUAUCUGAAUGAACAGCUUACCUUGAGAAACCCAAUGUCAUGCGGCCAGGAAUAGAAAAGCAGCAUGCAACUGGGUCAACUCCAGAGACCACUAUUUGCUGUGUUGUUAUAUUAAUCACUUAAAUAUGCUUCCAAAUGUAAAAUUAUCUGAGCCAAGGUUUUGAAGCUGGGUGUGAGGAUAGUGGCAAGCUUCUCUCCUAGUGAUAUUCUCACUCUAGGAACUUUACAUUUUGUGCAGAGGAGUGGAGCAGCCUGAGGUCAUAUGAGUUUGUAGCUCCUGUGUGGGACCACCACUUCACAAGCCAGGGAAAGGCAAUCAGGACCCCAGUGUUCUUAGCACAUCAUGCCCCAGGUACAGCCUCCAUUCCACAAGUGGUGGGGCUGGGCAGAAGAAAAGAGCUCUUGCUACUCAUUUCCACUGAUCUGGAACAUAGCUGCAGUAACAGAUAGCUGGGGCAAGAUGAGAAACACUGAAGUCCUCCUCCUCCUGGAAAUAAAGGCCUCUCUGACUAGAAGCUGGUGGGGCAAGGAAGCCCUGUGGUCUUGGCUACAGCAGUCUGGAGUGGAGUCUCUGCUUUAUGGGGGAAGAGUGGAUCUAGGACCAUCAUCACAGAGAAUUUUUCUGCAUGAAUUCCUGCAAUGGUUAUCACCAGGCUCACGAGUGAGAUAUCAGAAGGAACACAAACUUCCAUGGACCCUAUUAAAAAAUACGCUUUCC